AAUAGAUACCCACGGUAGUCCACGCCGUAAACGGUAGGGUACUAGGUGUGGGUUUCCUUCUUGGGAGUCCGUGCCGUAGCUAACGCAUUAAGUACCCCGCCUGGGGAAGUACGGCCGCAAGGCGUAAAACUCAAAGGAAUUGAACGGGGGGCCCGACACAAAAGGACGGGUCGGGAGGGCCGAUGUAGGGAUUUAAGUUCGGAUGCAACGGUCGGUAAAGAACCUUACCUGGGGUUUGACAAUAACCGCAGGACGACAUCCAGAGAUGGUGUUUCCCUUGUGGCCUUGUGGUACCAGGGUGGUGCAUGGCUGUCGUCAGCUCGUGUCGUGAGAUGUUGGGUUAAGUCCCGNUAACGAGCGCAACCCUCGUUACCAGUGUUCGUCCUAGCGCGUUAAUGGUCGGGGUACUCAUGGGAGACUGCCGGGGUCAACUCGGACGGAAGGUGGGGGAGUGGACGGUCGAAGUACAUCAUGCCCCUUACUGUCCGACGGGUCUUC
rnacentral:rRNA from 1 species